CCCAGGUCGGCUGACCGAGCUGACUGUCUCUACGGCUGGCUGGCUGGCUGGCUUUGCCGGCGCAGCCACCCAGCCGGCCACCUUCCUCUUCUCCCGCGUGUGUGCCGCCACUCGGCCGGGGUUUACCUGGCGUUACCUGCCAGCCUGUAGCCUCAGUUCACUCACGUCACUUCGAGCAACCGGUUCGGAGUCCUCUCGGUGUCCGCGCGCGCUUGCACUCGACUUUAAAAGCCUUUCCUCUCGUACCUGCCUUUCUUUCCUCCGCGUAUGUACGCACGUAAUCGCGCAACUCUUCUUCUUCGUCUUUGUCCUCGAUUCGUCUUUUCUUCUUCUUCAUCCUUUUCUUCGUUUACCAUCUUUUCCCGUUUCUUUUCUCUUCCGCGUGCGCGUCGUUCGUACUGUCGGAUAUAUGUUGAUAUUAUUUAACAUUGGUGCGCGAACUGUAUCCUCUAGGAGAAAACGGUCGAUUGCGUCAAGACUUUUGCGAUCGCUGAAAUUGCGUUUUUUUUUUCGCGCCAACUAUGGAGAGACUUGGCUGUGACUCGACCGGUUCGGACAACAGUGAAAUUUUGACAGACCUCUCAUAGCGGUACGUACCUGCGGAAGAAAAGGAGACGGGCACGACCAGCCUAGAGAGAAUUGUAAGGAGGAGGUCAUUACCGAUAGCGAUCGGCAUCAGAUCGAAAUCGAUCGACGGUCAGAUCAACGGUAACUUUAUGGCUGCGAGGCAAAAGAUCGAACGAAAUUGCAAUGCGUUCUCUAAACGCAUUCGUAGAGGAAACGAUUAUAUCCCGGACUGAAUAUCGGUGUUUUUUGUUGUCGGUGGUAAUGAUCGCCGCGGUGAAAUCUAUUUCUUUGGAUCCGCGAAGGGGCACAUUCCCAACGGUUUCUCUUUCUUGUGUAUCCGAGAUUUUCAUCGGGUCAGUGUCCUCGAGAAUCGGCGACCGUUAUUCGCCGGCUCCGACCUCAGUACGAAAAACAUGGACUCGCUGAGAAAUCGCGCAAUAAGAACGGAAGCAUCAUCGGGACAGAAGAAUGAUGCCAGUCGAUGACAAGCGUUUAUAAGUUUCUUCCUACAUAUGAUGACGUAAAUCCAAAAUUAUCAUCUUCCUCUAUGAUAAAGCGAAUCCUUGGUGUUUCGCGUAAGUGAACGUCGCUUUGUCUCCGCGCGAUACGAAUUACAAACGGCUUUCUAAGUAUCAAAUGUAGCGUAAUACUUAAGAGACUCUAGGCGAAUAAUCCCGCGAGGUUCUGUCGUAAUAUAAGAGGAACGUGAUCGUUGCCGGAUCGUUGGAAAUUACGUAACUUUAUAUGCAGUAUGAGAACACGCGUAUCGGAUAAAAUUGUAAAUGCAAGUUUUCUGGCCUUUAGUCUGUCGCCUAUAUCACUUUUUUAAAUAUGCAAAUGUGACACACGUGCUGCAAUUCAUCAACUCGUUCGCGGUAAUAUUGUUUCUAACAGCGAAAGUCUCCACAUGAUUUAAUAAGAUUUCGAAAGUUAUGAAGUGAAGUGUCGGGGCCAUUGUCCCGGGACUCGUUUGAUAUUUUAUUGUUUUCACAGACUCAUCCCUCUUCUCUCCCACUACCAAUUAUUAUCCUCUUUUCCUUGAUUCAUUUAUUUUCUCAUCCUAGAUAUCAUUGCGUCACCGUGAAAUCCUUUCGUCACGGUACCAAGGUGCUAUUCUCUAAUCCGAGAAGAAACUUUUUAUUCGCUCAAAUUGUAUCAUGUUUUUUC
rnacentral:lncRNA from 1 species